rnacentral:rRNA from 1 species
GGGUUGUGAGGUUAAGCGACUAAGCGUACACGGUGGAUGCCCUGGCAGUCAGAGGCGAUGAAGGACGUGCUAAUCUGCGAUAAGCGUCGGUAAGGUGAUAUGAACCGUUAUAACCGGCGAUUUCCGAAUGGGGAAACCCAGUGUGAUUCGUCACACUAUCAUUAACUGAAUCCAUAGGUUAAUGAGGCGAACCGGGGGAACUGAAACAUCUAAGUACCCCGAGGAAAAGAAAUCAACCGAGAUUCCCCCAGUAGCGGCGAGCGAACGGGGAGCAGCCCAGAGCCUGAAUCAGUGUGUGUGUUAGUGGAAGCGUCUGGAAAGGCGCGCGAUACAGGGUGACAGCCCCGUACACAAAAAUGCACAUACUGUGAGCUCGAUGAGUAGGGCGGGACACGUGGUAUCCUGUCUGAAUAUGGGGGGACCAUCCUCCAAGGCUAAAUACUCCUGACUGACCGAUAGUGAACCAGUACCGUGAGGGAAAGGCGAAAAGAACCCCGGCGAGGGGAGUGAAAAAGAACCUGAAACCGUGUACGUACAAGCAGUGGGAGCACGCUUAGGCGUGUGACUGCGUACCUUUUGUAUAAUGGGUCAGCGACUUAUAUUCUGUAGCAAGGUUAACCGAAUAGGGGAGCCGAAGGGAAACCGAGUCUUAACUGGGCGUUAAGUUGCAGGGUAUAGACCCGAAACCCGGUGAUCUAGCCAUGGGCAGGUUGAAGGUUGGGUAACACUAACUGGAGGACCGAACCGACUAAUGUUGAAAAAUUAGCGGAUGACUUGUGGCUGGGGGUGAAAGGCCAAUCAAACCGGGAGAUAGCUGGUUCUCCCCGAAAGCUAUUUAGGUAGCGCCUCGUGAAUUCAUCUCCGGGGGUAGAGCACUGUUUCGGCAAGGGGGUCAUCCCGACUUACCAACCCGAUGCAAACUGCGAAUACCGGAGAAUGUUAUCACGGGAGACACACGGCGGGUGCUAACGUCCGUCGUGAAGAGGGAAACAACCCAGACCGCCAGCUAAGGUCCCAAAGUCAUGGUUAAGUGGGAAACGAUGUGGGAAGGCCCAGACAGCCAGGAUGUUGGCUUAGAAGCAGCCAUCAUUUAAAGAAAGCGUAAUAGCUCACUGGUCGAGUCGGCCUGCGCGGAAGAUGUAACGGGGCUAAACCAUGCACCGAAGCUGCGGCAGCGACGCUGAUGCGUUGUUGGGUAGGGGAGCGUUCUGUAAGCCUGUGAAGGUGUGCUGUGAGGCAUGCUGGAGGUAUCAGAAGUGCGAAUGCUGACAUAAGUAACGAUAAAGCGGGUGAAAAGCCCGCUCGCCGGAAGACCAAGGGUUCCUGUCCAACGUUAAUCGGGGCAGGGUGAGUCGACCCCUAAGGCGAGGCCGAAAGGCGUAGUCGAUGGGAAACAGGUUAAUAUUCCUGUACUUGGUGUUACUGCGAAGGGGGGACGGAGAAGGCUAUGUUGGCCGGGCGACGGUUGUCCCGGUUUAAGCGUGUAGGCUGGUUUUCCAGGCAAAUCCGGAAAAUCAAGGCUGAGGCGUGAUGACGAGGCACUACGGUGCUGAAGCAACAAAUGCCCUGCUUCCAGGAAAAGCCUCUAAGCAUCAGGUAACAUCAAAUCGUACCCCAAACCGACACAGGUGGUCAGGUAGAGAAUACCAAGGCGCUUGAGAGAACUCGGGUGAAGGAACUAGGCAAAAUGGUGCCGUAACUUCGGGAGAAGGCACGCUGAUAUGUAGGUGAAGUCCCUCGCGGAUGGAGCUGAAAUCAGUCGAAGAUACCAGCUGGCUGCAACUGUUUAUUAAAAACACAGCACUGUGCAAACACGAAAGUGGACGUAUACGGUGUGACGCCUGCCCGGUGCCGGAAGGUUAAUUGAUGGGGUCAGCGCAAGCGAAGCUCUUGAUCGAAGCCCCGGUAAACGGCGGCCGUAACUAUAACGGUCCUAAGGUAGCGAAAUUCCUUGUCGGGUAAGUUCCGACCUGCACGAAUGGCGUAAUGAUGGCCAGGCUGUCUCCACCCGAGACUCAGUGAAAUUGAACUCGCUGUGAAGAUGCAGUGUACCCGCGGCAAGACGGAAAGACCCCGUGAACCUUUACUAUAGCUUGACACUGAACAUUGAGCCUUGAUGUGUAGGAUAGGUGGGAGGCUUUGAAGUGUGGACGCCAGUCUGCAUGGAGCCGGCCUUGAAAUACCACCCUUUAAUGUUUGAUGUUCUAACGUUGACCCGUUAUCCGGGUUGCGGACAGUGUCUGGUGGGUAGUUUGACUGGGGCGGUCUCCUCCUAAAGAGUAACGGAGGAGCACGAAGGUUGGCUAAUCCUGGUCGGACAUCAGGAGGUUAGUGCAAUGGCAUAAGCCAGCUUGACUGCGAGCGUGACGGCGCGAGCAGGUGCGAAAGCAGGUCAUAGUGAUCCGGUGGUUCUGAAUGGAAGGGCCAUCGCUCAACGGAUAAAAGGUACUCCGGGGAUAACAGGCUGAUACCGCCCAAGAGUUCAUAUCGACGGCGGUGUUUGGCACCUCGAUGUCGGCUCAUCACAUCCUGGGGCUGAAGUAGGUCCCAAGGGUAUGGCUGUUCGCCAUUUAAAGUGGUACGCGAGCUGGGUUUAGAACGUCGUGAGACAGUUCGGUCCCUAUCUGCCGUGGGCGCUGGAGAACUGAGGGGGGCUGCUCCUAGUACGAGAGGACCGGAGUGGACGCAUCACUGGUGUUCGGGUUGUCAUGCCAAUGGCACUGCCCGGUAGCUAAAUGCGGAAGAGAUAAGUGCUGAAAGCAUCUAAGCACGAAACUUGCCCCGAGAUGAGUUCUCCCUGACUCCUUGAGAGUCCUGAAGGAACGUUGAAGACGACGACGUUGAUAGGCCGGGUGUGUAAGCGCAGCGAUGCGUUGAGCUAACCGGUACUAAUGAACCGUGAGGCUUAACCUUACAACGCCGAAG